rnacentral:sRNA from 1 species
GCAUAUUUGCUAAGAGCACCAUGCGCGCAGCAGCCAUCUCCACUCCAAAGUUAGACAAAAUGCCAGGAAUGUUCUUCUCUGCUAACCCAAAGGAAUUGAAAGGAACCACUCAUUCACUUCUAGACGACAAAAUGCAAAAAAGGAGGCCAAAGACUUUUGGAAUGGAUAUGAAAGCAUACCUGAGAUCUAUGAUCCCACAUCUGGAAUCUGGAAUGAAAUCUUCCAAGUCCAAGGAUGUGUAAGUACACUAAUACACUAAACUAUCAUUAUCAUUUACAAGAGAAGCCUAUGCAUUAUCUCUAUAUCCCAGCAAGGGAUAAAUACUGCGCACAGUAGACUUCAUUUCUUUUAAGUAACAUGCCAAAUAAAAUUAGACUAUCAGUACCAAUGUAAAUUGAAUACAAAUGUGUACACACACAUAUUGGACUUUAUCUAUUUGGGUUUUUUCAAAUUUUAUUGGCAGGUUUUUUUUUCAUAACUAUAGUAACUCUAAGGGAAGUUUUGCAUUUUGUGAAUAAAUUUUAACAUAUUUAUUAGAACUACAGUUUCAGUUUGUGAAGUUAUCAAAGUGUAACAGCCAUUCUUAUUUCAUUUGUGCUUACAUUUUAAAAAUUGACUAAUGUAUGUACAUUUUGUCC